rnacentral:rRNA from 1 species
UCUGUGAACUCCUACGGGAGGCAGCAGUGGGGAAUUUUGGACAAUGGGGGCAACCCUGAUCCAGCAAUGCCGCGUGAGUGAAGAAGGCCUUAUGGUUGUAAAGCACUUUAAGCGAGGAGGAGGCUACUGAGACUAAUACUCUUGGAUAGUGGACGUUACUCGCAGAAUAAGCACCGGCUAACUCUGUGCCAGCAGCCGCGGUAAUACAGAGGGUGCGAGCGUUAAUCGGAUUUACUGAGCGUAAAGCGUGCGUAGGCGGCCUUUUAAGUCGGAUGUGAAAUCCCCGAGCUUAACUUGGGAAUUGCAUUCGAUACUGGGAAGCUAGAGUAUGGGAGAGGAUGGUAGAAUUCCAGGUGUAGCGGUGAAAUGCGUAGAGAUCUGGAGGAAUACCGAUGGCGAAGGCAGCCAUCUGGCCUAAUACUGACGCUGAGGUACGAAAGCAUGGGGAGCAAACAGGAUUAGAAACCCGAGUAGUCCAUCAGCG